rnacentral:lncRNA from 1 species
ACAUUUCCCUGGGUAUCACAGCUCCCCAUAAAGACACUAAUGACAAUAUUUACCACCAUGUGUCUAUAUCUGAUAUAUAUCAUAAAUAGUAAAAUAGUUGCCGUAAUUAAAAUACUUUAGUGUGAUGUUUAUGCAUAAAUAUUUAGAACGUUAAUAUCUGCUUGCUUAACUAUAAUAUACACCAUAUAUACAAGCCUGAAC